AUGGUGGGAGUCCAGGCUUUGGCUCUGGGUUUCUGGUGGCUGCAAAGCACAGCUCGGCAGGCGGUGUGGGGGCACGGACAGCCUCCCACAUUAUUAAGUACAUGCUACCAGGUGCCUAUCCCAGGACCCCAGAGGAACAGGCAGCUGCCUCCAAGAAGUAUAAUAUGUGUGUGGAAGACUAUGAGCCUCACCUGGCUGAAAGCAUGGGGUAUAAGGACCAAAGCUGCCUGACUUCUCACAGCAUGAGAGGAAUCCAUGGUAUGAAUGGGAUCACCCAGACCUGAGGUUGAACUGGGGUGAACCAAUUCACUGGCAUCUAGACAUGUAUAUCCAGAAUCGUGUGGACACAUCUCCCAUACCUGUUUCUUGGCAUAUCAUGCAUAACCAUCUCUUCAGCUUCAUGGCGUUCAUGCUUUUUAUGUUCUGUGUAGGGAAGAUGUACCCCAGCUACCAGCCUGUGGAGACAAAACAGUAUCCUUAUAAUAAUCUGUACCUGGAAUGAGGUGAUGAUCCCAGCAAAGAACCUCAGCCGGUGGUUCACUAUGAGAUCUGA